UAAUGUUUUGCARACUGCYUGAUGUGGGGCUGGAWCUACUGMAAACUGGAGCUAAUACCGCAUAACGUCKCAAUUCCAAAGAGGGGGACCUUCGGGCCUCUUGCCAUCAGAUGUGCCCKGAUGGUUUAKCUAGUAGGUGGGGUAACRKCUCAYCUAGSCGACGAUCCCUAGCUGGUCUGAGAGGAUGACCAGCCACACUGGAACUGAGACACGCUCCAGACUCCUACGGGAGGCAGCAG
rnacentral:rRNA from 1 species